rnacentral:piRNA from 1 species
UUCUUCAAUAAAUCGAUUGCAACGUGU